UUUAGUAUGGGCUUUCACUCAAGUAAAAUAAUUAUAAGAAUUUAAAAUAAUAAAAUAUUUUUAUACUGUAUUACAUGUAAUACAAAGUUUUCUAAUUUCAGUUGACAUAAAUAAAAAAAAAUACAAAAUAUCAUCAAGUAUGAAUGCGUUACAAUUGAAUUCUGUCCAUGUGUCCAUCCAAUCACUGAAAAAAAAAAGUUCUGUUGUGACAAACGGUAAUGACGUCAAUCCGCUAUGCGUCCACGGCACGCGCCAAAUUUAAAAAGCAGGGAAUAAUAGUUGAAUGCUGCAGCAGAGGAUUUUGCCGUGAAUAACGACUCAAAUUUCGGCCUUGGUCCCACCGUUCUAACAAACAAGGAGAAACAAAAUCAGCGAGGACUUUCUUCCCCCCAAAAAAUCCUAUUCUGUGUUCUAGAGAAAAUCAUACUCUUCUUGAACGACACAAAGGCCUUCGUCCUUGACUUUCCAUUUGUCAAGAUCCUCUGACUUGAAUUGGUCUUUCUCAUCAACUUACUUCAGCAGAGACCAACUGGAGACCCAG